rnacentral:lncRNA from 1 species
UAUCACUUCUGGUGGGUUCCAAAAGCCGAAGAAGAACGGCAACCUUCUUGUGUGGAUACUAGUGCCAAUCCUAGGAGCACUCGUCAUUCUCUCUAUAUGUGCAGGCGCAUUUACCUACUACAUUCGGAAACGAAAACCACACAAUGGAAGAAACACAGAUUCUGAAACUGGAGAGAAUAUGUCCAUAUUCAGCGUUGAUGGCAAAUUCAAAUACCAAGAUAUCAUCGAAUCAACAAACGAAUUCGAUCAAAGAUACCUCAUCGGAAGCGGAGGAUACAGCAAAGUCUACAAAGCAAACCUCCCAGAUGCGAUCGUAGCCGUGAAAAGGCUACAUGAUACAAUAGACGAAGAGAUAUCAAAGCCAGUGGUGAAGCAAGAGUUCCUAAACGAAGUAAGAGCGUUAACAGAGAUCCGUCACCGCAACGUGGUGAAGCUCUUCGGCUUCUGCUCCCACCGCCGCCACACGUUUCUGAUCUACGAGUACAUGGAAAAAGGAAGUUUAAACAAACUCUUAGCCAACGAAGAAGAAGCUAAGCGACUCACUUGGACCAAGAGGAUCAACAUCGUGAAAGGUGUGGCUCACGCGUUAUCGUAUAUGCACCAUGACCGAUCAACUCCGAUCGUCCACCGUGAUAUUAGCAGCGGCAACAUCCUUCUCGAUAAUGAUUACACAGCUAAGAUCUCUGAUUUUGGCACAGCGAAGCUUCUCAAGACGGAUUCAUCAAACUGGUCCGCCGUUGCUGGAACCUACGGCUACGUCGCUCCAGGUAAAUCUAAAUCAAUGAAAUUAAAAAAUCCCUAAAUUAAUUCGAAAUUGAAAUUGACUGUUUCUGAAAUUUUCGCAACAGAGUUUGCUUACACGAUGAAGGUGACGGAGAAAUGCGAUGUGUAUAGCUUCGGGGUUUUGAUACUCGAGGUUAUAAUGGGGAAGCAUCCGGGAGAUUUGGUUGCGAGUUUGUCUUCGUCUCCGGGAGAAACUCUGUCCCUGAGAAGCAUUUCCGAUGAACGUAUAUUAGAACCACGGGGGCAGAAUAGAGAGAAGCUCAUAAAGAUGGUGGAAGUGGCUUUAUCGUGUUUACAAGCAGAUCCGCAAUCUCGGCCAACGAUGUUAUCAAUCUCUACAGCUUUUUCUUAGAACUCAUCUUCAUCAAUUUCUUCGACGAGGUAAAGAAAAUAACAAACUUUUUUAUAUAUUAUAAAUGUGUUUAUCAAUGCAACCGUAGUUAAAAAUUAAAAUCGUUUUUUUGGAAAGAAGGGAAGAAGAAAGAGAAGUCGUAAGGUGAAAGAAGAAUAAAGAAGAAAAGAACUUUGCUCUACUUUCUCUGCUCUACUUUCUCUGCUCAUUGCAAUGUCACUUCACGCCGUUCGAGUACUAUCCUGUGUUCUCUCUCUAAACCUUCACUUAAUUUGGCUAAACCUGUGUCUGGAUUUCUUUCUCCUUCCACUGCGUCGACGUCUCGAACCGCAUUCACCGUCGCUCCUAAAUCUCAAGAACUUGACUGUUCUUUAUCUUCAUCAGAAUUAUAUAACUGGUGUCAUUCCCCCAGAACUAGGCAACAUGGAAUCCAUGAUUGAUUUAGAGUUAAGUCAGAACAAUCUUACUGGUUCAAUUCCUUCUUCUUUUGGUAACUUUACCAAGCUGGAAAGUUUGUACCUCCGUGAUAACCACCUCUCUGGUACGAUCCCGCGAGGAGUGGCAAACUCUUCAGAGCUAACUGAAUUGCUACUCGACAUAAACAAUUUCACCGGUUUCUUGCCUGAAAACAUUUGCAAAGGUGGCAAGCUUCAGAAUUUUUCAUUAGAUUAUAAUCACCUCGAAGGUCAUAUCCCGAAAAGCUUGAGAGAUUGCAAGAGCCUGAUCAGAGCAAAAUUUGUAGGGAACAAAUUCAUUGGAAAUAUUUCUGAAGCAUUUGGGGUUUACCCAGAUCUUGAUUUCAUUGAUCUCAGCCAUAAUAAAUUCAACGGUGAAAUUUCAAGCAACUGGCAGAAGAGUCCAAAGCUAGGUGCCUUGAUCAUGUCAAACAACAACAUCACAGGUGCUAUUCCACCAGAGAUUUGGAACAUGAAACAACUGGGCGAGCUAGAUCUGUCUACCAACAACCUCACUGGUGAGCUUCCAGAAGCAAUUGGAAAUCUCACGGGUUUGUCGAAGCUACUACUGAAUGGGAAUAAGUUAUCUGGAAGAGUUCCUACGGGUUUAAGUUUCUUAACCAAUCUUGAGUCUCUUGACUUAUCCUCAAACAGAUUCAGCUCCCAGAUCCCACAAACCUUCGACUCCUUUUUAAAGCUUCAUGAAAUGAACCUGAGCAAAAACAAUUUCGAUGGACGCAUUCCCGGACUAACAAAGCUGACUCAGUUAACGCAUCUUGAUCUCAGCCACAACCAGCUCGACGGAGAAAUCCCAUCACAGCUCAGCUCCUUGCAGAGCCUCGACAAGCUCAACCUCUCACACAACAAUCUCUCAGGUUUCAUUCCAACAACUUUCGAGAGCAUGAAAGCGCUGACGUUCAUCGAUAUAUCAAAUAAUAAACUCGAGGGUCCGCUUCCAGACAAUCCAGCGUUUCAAAACGCAACAUCAGAUGCAUUGGAGGGAAACAGAGGCUUAUGCAGUAAUAUUCCUAAACAAAGGUUGAAAUCAUGCCCUAUCACUUCUGGUGGGUUCCAAAAGCCGAAGAAGAACGGCAACCUUCUUGUGUGGAUACUAGUGCCAAUCCUAGGAGCACUCGUCAUUCUCUCUAUAUGUGCAGGCGCAUUUACCUACUACAUUCGGAAACGAAAACCACACAAUGGAAGAAACACAGAUUCUGAAACUGGAGAGAAUAUGUCCAUAUUCAGCGUUGAUGGCAAAUUCAAAUACCAAGAUAUCAUCGAAUCAACAAACGAAUUCGAUCAAAGAUACCUCAUCGGAAGCGGAGGAUACAGCAAAGUCUACAAAGCAAACCUCCCAGAUGCGAUCGUAGCCGUGAAAAGGCUACAUGAUACAAUAGACGAAGAGAUAUCAAAGCCAGUGGUGAAGCAAGAGUUCCUAAACGAAGUAAGAGCGUUAACAGAGAUCCGUCACCGCAACGUGGUGAAGCUCUUCGGCUUCUGCUCCCACCGCCGCCACACGUUUCUGAUCUACGAGUACAUGGAAAAAGGAAGUUUAAACAAACUCUUAGCCAACGAAGAAGAAGCUAAGCGACUCACUUGGACCAAGAGGAUCAACAUCGUGAAAGGUGUGGCUCACGCGUUAUCGUAUAUGCACCAUGACCGAUCAACUCCGAUCG